UCUCCCCUCCUAAUCAUACUUGAAAAUUCCUCAAUCCCCAAUAUUGUUUCUAGAUGUGAUUGAGUUAUCUUAGCUUACAAACUCAUUAUGCAAGUGAUAUUUUGAUCUUAUAGCCUGCGGAAAUUCGUCUCUCUUGUUAUAUAAACCUUUUUCUAGUUUCUUUCUCAAUAUUGUAUCGCCUUUUGUGUACAAGUUUCUAUUUAGAUCAUCGUCACAAUAAACUGAAUGAGAGAAAUCGAUCAAAUCUUACAAGUUUUUACUAUUCUUAAUUUAUCAUUUGUUGCAGAGGAACUAGUCUAGAAGAAGGGCGAAGAUCAAGAAAAGAAAACUCUUAUUCCCAUGUAAAAUCCAUUACUGGUUCUUAAUGGAUUUAUUUGAUCUUUAGUUACAUUGUUACUAAAGACCGUGUCUUUGAGAAGAAAAUAGCAUUUAGAGACUCAGAUUUAUUUGGUUUACCAAGGGUAGCAAUCCAGUGAGAAAAUGAGCAGUAUUGUUGUUUAUCAGGUUUGGACAGAUGAUUCCUAUCACAGAGAAAUACUGGAGUAGCUACAUGUAGCAACAUUCCCUUCAUGGCCUUUCGGAACUAUCGGCUGUAAUGUGCAGUAGUUUUUUCAGAUCCACUUUGUUAUAUCAAGUCUAGCCGCAGCGACAGGAAUGCUUGUUAUGAAGGUUCGAACUUAUAAUGCAUAUAAUGACUCAUUAGAAAUUUCUGUAUUUGUCAGCUUUAAUCCCCCUCUCUGGACCUCUAUGGUCCCUUAAUUUGUACAAACUGCUUCCAAUACAAUGCUCUUACGUUUCUGGAAGAUUUUUCACUUCGCCGAUGUUCUGAAUUUGAGAGAGGCUGACUACAAGCUAGGGAUGUUCAAAUUAAUCAGGACAUGAUUUUUUUCAUCAUAAUGAUUUCUUUGAUGCUACACUGCUGAAAUUACCUCUAUCCCGCUUAUUUCUGGUUAUUACUUUUUUAGGAAGAUUUCUAGUUUUUUAUUUGUAUGUCAUGUGAUGCCUUGAGGCAGCAAGUUGUUUGAGGAUGAAGAAAUUACUCUUCUAUCCAUUUUUCUGUAGAACACAAAACUCCUCUGUGCAUCUUUUAUAGCAGGAGAAGAAUAUAAACCUUCAGGUAACUUCUUCAUCAUAAUGUUUAUACCAGUUUAUAUUUGCUUAUGCUACACCACUGCAAACUUUAUUCCACUAAUUUCUGGUUAUUACUUUUUUUAAAGGUAAAUUUCUAGUUAUUACUUGUUUACUGUUGGAUGCCUUUAAGCUGAAUCCCUCUUAUGAUGACAA